AGUCUCAGUUCGGAUUGAAGGCUGAAAUUCGCCUUCAUGAAGCUGGAAUUGCUAGUAAUGGCAGGUCAGCAUACUGCCGUGAAUACGUUCCCGGGCCUUGUACACACCGCCCGUCACACCAUGAGAGUUGGGGAUACCCGAAGCCUGUGAGCUAACUGUAAAGAGGCAGCAGUCGAAGGUAAAAUCAAUGAUUGGGGUGAAGUCGUAACAAGGUACC
rnacentral:rRNA from 1 species